UUUUAUGGAUGCACAAAGAAAGUGGUUUCAUGAGAUGGAAUCUGCUUCUGGUGAAGGUGCUGUAAA
rnacentral:pre_miRNA from 3 species